rnacentral:rRNA from 1 species
UGAUGCAGCGACGCCGCGUGAGGGAUGACGGCCUUCGGGUUGUAAACCUCUUUCAGCACAGACGAAGCGCAAGUGACGGUAUGUGCAGAAGAAGGACCGGCCAACUACGUGCCAGCAGCCGCGGUAAUACGUAGGGUCCGAGCGUUGUCCGGAAUUACUGGGCGUAAAGAGCUCGUAGGUGGUUUGUCGCGUUGUUCGUGAAAACUCACAGCUUAACUGUGGGCGUGCGGGCGAUACGGGCAGACUAGAGUACUGCAGGGGAGACUGGAAUUCCUGGUGUAGCGGUGGAAUGCGCAGAUAUCAGGAGGAACACCGGUGGCGAAGGCGGGUCUCUGGGCAGUAACUGACGCUGAGGAGCGAAAGCGUGGGGAGCGAACAGGAUUAGAUACCCUGGUAGUCCACGCCGUAAACGGUGGGUACUAGGUGUGGGUUUCCUUCCUUGGGAUCCGUGCCGUAGCUAACGCAUUAAGUACCCCGCCUGGGGAGUACGGCCGCAAGGCUAAAACUCAAAUGAAUUGACGGGG